ACCUGGCCCAAAUAAUAAUGAAAGCAAACAAAUUAAAAGCCGAAAAGAUCUAAUAAAAAUAAUAGGCACCUGAGAAAAAAAGGAAAGUGAAGAGACUUAGAAGUCUCUAAUCUUCCAUGUCGAAAUCCAAGGUCCAUGCUCCAUUUCCAUGGUGAAAUCAAACCACUGAGCUGAAAUUCGCUUCUCCUCGAUCUAUCACCUUAGAGACGCCAUUCAAAUCCACUAUGUCGAGAUGAGCUUCCUUGUCAAGCUUCACUAUCAGCUAACUCCCCUUGAUUCCUUGCUAUCUUGUGUUUCAUUUCCUAGAUGUACAAAUAUGCAAAUGCACGAUAUUUCAAGAUAUGUGGAUCUGUUCUGUGAAGACCAAGAUAUAUUAGACUUAAUUAGAUAUUGAAGAUACACUAAAGAAAUUCUUACAGGUUCGGACGCAUAGUUUCCCGACUGCUCUUAGACAGCUCAUUGUUACUCAACAACAAUAGUGGGUCUAAAGGCGCUUCUACUUUUCUUAUGCAGUGAUAGGUGAUCUCAGAGUUGGUCGUUUGAGGUAAAUUGGUGUCCUGGCUGGGUCUGCUGCUAUAGUGUUUUUCUCCAUUGUGUCACCUUCUUGGUUGUUGUGUUUGCCUCUUCAUCUGUCUCAUUGGGAACCUCUAUUUGGUGUACAUAACUUAUUACAUUUGUUGUCUUUUCUUGGUGAAAAGCAUUUAUCAUCCACUCUUUUGUGGACACUUUCUCAUUUUCUUUAUCCUUUUCCACUAUUACUAUUGGUGUAUUGUGCUUAUCUAUUGUAUCUUUAUGCCUAUAUGAUUUGAUAUUGCUUAUCUCUUUCUUUGUUC